GAAUGACUAAUGAGGAACCUUUUUUUUUUCUGUCUAAUUAGUCGAGACAUUAGCCAAACUAGCUACCGCCGAAGUAACGUUACGGUCGGACGAUUUGAAUGAGAACAACUUAAAGCACUCAUGAAGUUUAUUAUAACAGGGCGGACUCCCUCUCCACCAGCCAGUUCGGGUUUUGGUGAUAUUUUCGGGGAAAUUUAACUGAAAGACAACUCGUCGACCGGCUACUUUAAAGAUGCCGAAAGCCUCGAGCCUCGCGCCUGAACGUGUGCUGCGUUCAGGUACACGUCGUAAAAGCAACCACUGUAUUGCGCUCGUUGAUUUAAGCAUGUCAGACAAUAUGACUUUGUCCGCUAUCCCACAAUGGAAACGUAGCGGUUCAACGAGUAAAGGUUAGGGGUAAAGGUUAGGGGUAAAGGUUGAGUGACAGAUAACCCAUUGGAUUCAUGAUGAUUCAGUACCGCGUGGGAUUGGAUGUAGCCAUAUUUCCGACGGUACUUGGAGUUGUCGUGGCGCUCUCAACUACGCAUGCGCCCAACACUUUGCUGGGCAACUUGACCGAGAGACUCUGCUGCCUGUCGCCCACAACACAACAGUCCGCAUCUUCAUCAGUAUCUGCAUCAUCAUCAUCAUCAGCAGCAGCAGCAGCAGCAACAGUGUGAUGAGGAGCUAGAAUCUAGACCAACACACAGGAUGACCCAAGUAAUGAACUCUCUGGAGACGGGUGCAGUGGGAGGCGACCAGGACGCAAUAUUCCCAGAUUCCCAUGAAAGGCAUCCAAAAUUGUCCAAGAGGCUUCCAUCCAUUGUGGUGGAGCCGACAGACGGGCCAGAAGUGGAGAGCGGCGAGCUCCGGUGGCCGCCGGAACCCAGCUCCCCAGACGCUCAGACC